CAAUAGCGUAUAUUAAAAUUGUUGUGGUUAAAAAGCUCGUAGUUGGAUUUGCGUCUGGCAGGCGUGGUCCCCUAAUGGGCGGUACUGCGCUCUGCUGGGCUAAUCAUUCGGUGUCCCCUUGAUGCUCUUCACUGAGUGUCUCGGGUGCCCGGAACGUUUACUUUGAAAAAAUUAGAGUGCUCAAAGCAGGCGCUUUGCCUGAACAUUCAUGCAUGGAAUAAUGAAAGAGGUCCCUUCAGCUCUUUAUUGGUUACCGCUGUCGGGAAAUGAUCGACGGGGACAGACGGGGGCAUUCGUAUUGCGACGUUAGAGGUGAAAUUCUUGGAUCGCCGCAAGACGAACUACUG
rnacentral:rRNA from 1 species